CCUACGGGAGGCAGCAGUGGGGAAUAUUGGGCAAUGGAGGAAACUCUGACCCAGCGACGCCGCGUGCGGGAUGAAGGCCUUCGGGUUGUAAACCGCUUUCAGCAGGGAAGAAGCGAAAGUGACGGUACCUGCAGAAGAAGCACCGGCUAACUAUGUGCCAGCAGCCGCGGUAAUACAUAGGGUGCAAGCGUUGUCCGGAAUUAUUGGGCGUAAAGAGCUCGUAGGUGGUUCGUCACGUCGGAUGUGAAAAUCUGGGGCUUAACCCCAGACCUGCAUUCGAUACGGGCGAGCUUGAGUAUGGUAGGGGAGUCUGGAAUUCCUGGUGUAGCGGUGGAAUGCGCAGAUAUCAGGAGGAACACCAAUGGCAAAGGCAGGACUCUGGGCCAUUACUGACACUGAGGAGCGAAAGCGUGGGGAGCGAACAGGAUUAGAUACCCUGGUAGUCCACGCCGUAAACGGUGGGCACUAGUUGUGGGGACCUUCCACGGUCUCUGCGACGCAGCUAACGCAUUAAGUGCCCCGCCUGGGGAGUACGAUCGCAAGAUUAAAACUCAAAGGAAUUGACGG
rnacentral:rRNA from 1 species